UACAGAGGGUGCAAGCGUUGCUCGGAAUCACUGGGCGUAAAGCGCACGUAGGCGGCUUUUUAAGUCAGGGGUGAAAUCCCGGAGCUCAACUCCGGAACUGCCUUUGAUACUGAAAAGCUUGAGUUCGGGAGAGGUGAGUGGAACUGCGAGUGUAGAGGUGAAAUUCGUAGAUAUUCGCAAGAACACCAGUGGCGAAGGCGGCUCACUGGCCCGAUACUGACGCUGAGGUGCGAAAGCGUGGGGAGCAAACAGG
rnacentral:rRNA from 1 species